rfam:Scleropages formosus scaffold7482, whole genome shotgun sequence.
GCCUUGCUCUAGCAGCACGUAAAUAUUGGAGUUAAACCACUUCUGAUUCCUCCAGUAUUGAUCGUGCUGCUGAAGUGAAGC